rnacentral:lncRNA from 1 species
UUUUCAUCAUUUCUUGAACGACGAGAUCCAAUAUUUCAUAGCUUCAAUCCAUGUAUGGAGAACAUGAUGCAAUUCGUGUUGCAACCAAUAAGAUCCGUAUUUUACGGCAAGGCAAUCGAUCAGUAAUGUUGUACGCUUCACAAUUUUGACAACUUGUAAUUGACAUCAAGUGGGAUGAUGCUGCACUUAUUAGCUAAUUUCUCUACGGAUUACAAUAUGAGGUAAAAAAUUAAUGCUCAACUUACCUGAUCUUCAAACAUUGAGUCAAGCAAUUGACUUUGCUGUGAAGUACGACAAUUGUCUUUUUGAAUUUCGAUCUGAGAAUCAUACAAGUGGACCUCAACAAUACUAUAAUU